rnacentral:rRNA from 1 species
GUGAGGAAUAUUGGUCAAUGGGCGAGAGCCUGAACCAGCCAAGUCGCGUGAAGGAAGAAGGAUCUAUGGUUCGUAAACUUCUUUUGCAGGGGAAUAAAGUGCGGGACGUGUCCUGUUUUGUAUGUACCCUGAGAAUAAGGAUCGGCUAACUCCGUGCCAGCAGCCGCGGUAAUACGGAGGAUCCGAGCGUUAUCCGGAUUUAUUGGGUUUAAAGGGUGCGUAGGUGGUUUGAUAAGUCAGCGGUGAAAGUUUGCAGCUUAACUGUAAAAAUGCCGUUGAAACUGUCGGACUUGAGUGUAAAUGAGGUAGGCGGAAUGCGUGGUGUAGCGGUGAAAUGCAUAGAUAUCACGCAGAACUCCGAUUGCGAAGGCAGCUUACUAAGCUACAACUGACACUGAAGCACGAAAGCGUGGGGAUCAAACAGGAUUAGAUACCCCGGUAGUCC